ensembl:lncRNA
AAUCAACCUUCUUCUAACCUGAGGAAUUGCUCACACAACCUCUUGAAAUUGCGACCCCACACAGUGCAGUGGUGUAUUUUGUCCGGUGCUGCUGUUCACGUGUGGGCAGUUAGUAUCAUUUACUAAGAAAUGAAAGUGAAACUUCUAUCAAUAAUUAUAAAAAGGCAGGGGGGGAUGCACUGGACAAAAUAUACCACUGCACUGUGGAUAUCUGCGCAUAACUACGGAUACACUCUCUGUAUCAUCUGAAUGUGGACAGAUCAUGGGCUGGGAAGGAAUAUGUAAAUCCUUCAUAUUUUACUGUUUAUGUUAUUAAUUAUUUUUCAUGCAGUGUAAUUUAAUGAAUUUCUUACUCCAUGCGCGAUUUUGUUCACUCUUUGUCUUUCAAGGGAGUCGUUAUAGUCGGAGGUAUGGGAGGUCUGACGGGAGCUGGCAUUGGAGGUGUUGCUGGUGCUGGAGGAACAGUGGGUUGGCUGCUCUCAACCAUUUGUAACCAGACUGGAACACGUUAAGAUUUACACUAUGAACAAAUACCAGAUGUUUAGUCAUGUGACAGAUCUCAAAUGAAGCAUCAUUUUAGAAACGUCAGACACUCAGC